rnacentral:lncRNA from 1 species
UUUUGGCAGUUAAGGGAAAGAACUGAUUUACAAGCCAUAAGAACAUCUUCUUACUUUCCACAAACAAGUUAUAGAAUUAAUUAAAAUUGUAGCACAUCAACUCUGCACAUGAAACAGCUCUGUUACUGGAGACAAAAUUAAUGCAAAUAUGUGGAAAGUCAAAUAGUUUACAACAAAGAUAAUUUAGAUGGGUAGAUCAGAUAACAACUUGGAACUGAGCCCGACAGAAGUAUUUUUACUCAAAGGUGGCAAGUGCUGAAUGUUAUAUUCCAAAACAAGCAAGGGAAAUACUGAAUUUUAAUCUAGUGCCAAAAUGAUUUUAAAAAGUCCUUUACAUAAAUGUUUAAACAUAUCUUACUUGAAGAAAUUACAAAGACCUGUAAGACUAUCAAGGACUCUUUUAAAUAAAUGAGGAAGACUAUGUAAAUGGCAUGAAAGACAAUAUGAAAUUUGCAUUUAAUCCUAUUGAUGUUCCACUAACUACUCAAAGAAUAUGCAUCCACCUAUAACAUUUCAUCCUCAUGAAGACAUAUACAAAGGCAUUAAAGAAAGGUGGCCUCUUUAUACCUGUACACUGUUGAGACUAAUGGUGUUUAACACUAUGAGAUUUAUUAUCUCUAAAACAAGGAUAAACAAUGACAGGAACAGAAAAGUAAAACUUUUCAUGAGCUAAUGGAUUUAAUCUUAUUGGUAAAACAAUGGCAAUUGUGUCCUUAUACAAUACAAAUGUAAAUAAAGUAAAAGGACAGAGUUGAGAUAAAAUGAUGAAAACGGAAAUUUGUCUUCUGAGUCACCAGCUUCUCUCUCCUUCAGUUCUUUUAGUAAGUCCAAGAAGGAUGCAUCAGUAUACGGGCAGAGAGGAAACGUGGAGAUCAGAAGGAACAUCCUACAGUUACUACCAUCCUGAUGACAGAGAACUACUCUGCUUGUGGUUUAAAGAGUCCCCAGCAAUGGCUGGGAGCAUAAGACCUUGGGUAAUAUCAAUUUAGAUGAUGUAAAGCAAUUCCAGUUGUAGCAGAGCUAUGUCCUC